ACGUAGGGAGCAAGCGUUGUCCGGAAUCAUUGGGCGUAAAGCGCACGUAGGCGGCUUGGCAAGUCGGAUGUGAAAUCCCUCGGCUCAACCAAGGAAGUGCAUCCGAAACUGCUGAGCUUGAGUACUUAAGAGGAUCGCGGAAUUCCCGGUGUAGAGGUGAAAUUCGUAGAUAUCGGGAGGAACACCAGUGGCGAAGGCGGCGAUCUGGGAAGAUACUGACGCUGAGGAGCGAAAGCGUGGGGAGCGAACAGG
rnacentral:rRNA from 1 species